UUCUCAAUUUGCGUACUUGUGCGUGCUCGUGUGCUCGUGGACUCGUGAAACGUCAUCAGUCGUUGCCCGAUCACUGUUCCAAUUCGAAGUACGCAUCAAGCGAGUACUGUCGUAAAACCCGGAAGUGUUCUUGAUGCGUGCUCGAUCUCGCCGUUUCACCGAGCAUGCAUCGGAGGUGGCUCGUGUGUACUUGCAACCGCUAUAAAUCCCAGGAUGCAUUUCGCACUCGCAGCAGUACGAUGGCGGACAAUAUGGAGAAGACGCACAACUGGACAAUUGAAGAAACAAGGGCCCUCAUCGAGUGGCGGGCGGCAAAUGAAGCUCGGUUCACUGGCCUCCGCAACUCCUCUGCUACGGGAUGGGAGGACUUCAUUUCCACUUCUGGCCUGGAUAUUUCCACCAAACAGGCCAUGAAGAAGUGGAACAAUCUGAAGCUCAAGUACACAGUAAGUAUACGUUGCCUGUUUAUCUGCUUUGUAUUAUAUACUGAUUAUAUUAUAUAUACUGAGCAUUCCAGCGAUUCGUUCAUAUGAAAAUUAACCUACACACAAUACCAUUUCA